UUGACCCGUGACGCCACCGGUCCAGCACAGCAUCAAGAAGGCUGAAGGCAAGAAGCACAGGCAGGCCGCACCAGCGCACCUAGCCACCUGCCGGUGCCGUGUCAUCGUCUGCCGAGCACCCGAGGCGGCCGAGCGUUCGUCUGCAGACCACAACAGAGAGGUUAAUUUUUUUUAGCAAACCCUAUUUUUAUCUUUGCAAUUUUAAUUAGUGAUGUUUCGUGAUUUUAGAAGAAGUUUUUAUGUAAAUAUGAAGUUCAUUAUUAAUGAAAUAAUUUUGAUGUUGUGCCCUAUCAAUUUACUUGUACAAUACAGUGAUUGAACAUUUUUGAACAUGAAGAGGGGUGGAGAUAUUGCUUCGCUUUUUCGAAAACAUGAAGCAAAGAAGCUUGCUACCUCCAUGGUAUAUGCUUCUUCAACUCCGGCAGUAAAUCAAGGGCAACCUAGUAAUGAACAAGAGGAAGAAAAAGUGAUCGAAGAAAAU
rnacentral:lncRNA from 1 species